UAGAUUCCGCCCACCUACUCCAAUCUCCACCUCAUGGUGGGAUGGUGAUAGUGCCAAGCAUCACAAAGGCCAAAAUCCUUCAUAUACUGUUUAACACUUUCUGUGGAUUGCUAGUCUUGAUGACUUCCUGUGGUACUAUGUUGGUCCGGUAUAACCGAGUGAGGUGAAAAGGGAGUGAAAAAAGGACGGGUCUUCAACAUUUGGACCAUAUAUAUUUGCAGUACAUAACUUAACAUUUUGAAUAGAUAUUGUAACUAUUAUGAAUCUUGCUUCUGGAUCUAUGAUUGUAUUCUUAAUGUCAACGUUUAACCUUCUAUUAAUUAGAGUUGCUGCUCCUCUCUGCCUAGAAUUAUAACAAGCUGAGUACACAUAUGGAAACUGGGCUGUCGAAAAAUCCACCGCUGAGAUUGACAAAUGAGUCCAAGGAUGCCAGUAAUGGCAAUGAUUCCAGACAGGAGGCGGCAAAGAGAGGCUGCAGCCAGAGCAUCCCCCACCCCCCAACCUGUUCCACUUCUUCAAACCCAUAUCCUCAACUCCCACUCUCACCCCAUAUCCCCUGCUCCAGUGCAGGCCGCCCCACCCACUGAAAAGAGGACAGUUCCCCAGCACCAGGGCCCAGGCUUCACCGCCCAGCCCAUGCCGGGGCAGCCCAGCCACCCAAUGGAUGUUCAACUGAUGACCUGGGACCUUCUACUCUCAAAACUUGUUUGUUUUUCCAAGCUGACAAGCUAACACCCACAGGUCUAAUAUCUCAACCAGGGCAAAGACGAGAUCAUCUGGUGGGAUCCCCCACCAGGACUUGUUUAACUUAACAUUCUUGCGGGUAAUAAACUUUUAAAGGUUUGGCACUUCAGCAGAAGAACACUGCAGAGGACAGACUUUCUUUAUCUAAGAUACAGUAGAGAACAAAGAUUCUGUCAAUAUUUUAAAUAUUUUCAUAUGCUGUUGAUAAGCUAUUGGUAUUUAGUUAUGCAGAUCAUCGUUAUGGGUACAAGGUUGACAAGUUUGAUUCCUUCAUGAUCUGAAACUUUCCUCACCAGUCUUUAUAGUUCAUUUUAAUGACAUUUGCUUUGUUUGAAUGAUGAUAAUGUUUCUUUAGAAUGUAUAUCAGUAUUUUAACAAUGACAUUUAAGACUUAACAUUUUAUAACGUACAGAUGUAUUAACAAAUGUUUGAUACUUUUACAAAGGAAAUCAGAAAGGAAACACUGAACCAGCCCCCUAGGUCAUCUGAUCCCAGCACUGCAGAGGCUGCCCAUUGGUUGAACACCCUCUUAUGGGUGUGGACCAUCCUCACACUUAAAAAAACUUACGACAAAGAUUUCGGAUUCACUAAACUAAUAUGUGGUGGUUUGUCUUUCCAGAGAAAUUUAGUGAUGUAUGAGCCCAAUGACUCAAACCAGGUGGAGGAAGGUUUAAUGGGAAUAAAUGAAAAUAGAUCAUUGACUUUAGGUACAAUCAUCAUUUGUAUGGUGGCAACCCUUCCCAUGAGUGACAUGAGUAAGGAUCUCCAAUGUGUGGGAUCAUCCUCAACUGUUCUAAGCAGAUGGACGUAAUUUAGCUUCGUCUGUUCUGGCAACCUGGGGGUGAAUGUUUAUUCCCCCAGGUAGAUAUUUCCUUGCUGCAAAUACAAUCAGGAAAGAUCUAAUACAGCGAGUAUUUCCGAUGCUAGUAUUGGUAUCGGCCCAUCCCUAAUACAUAUGCACAUGCAUACAUACAUACAUACAUAAAAACAUGGAGAUACAUUGAUAUGUAUACAUACUUACAUGAAAAUACUUAUGUACAUGUAUAUACACACACACACACACACACGAAGCACGUACAUCAAUACGUGCAUGUAUUUACAUACAUGCAUACAUGUAUAUAUGUAGCAGGACACACGGAUGUUAUGGGUUUCAUUGAUUGCCGUAUGUGUUGGUCGGCUAAUUACUGAGCAGGCCGAUGAUAUAAAAGGCAAGCAGGGCGUGCAGGCUGCCUCUUGCUUCCUGGUGGCUGGGUUACGUCAGUUCUUGGUAUCCGUAAUUUCCCCCUCUUGGAUGGUGCAGGUAGGCUAGCAGCUGCUGCUGCAAAUUGGUUGUUUGUCCCUCCAGUGCUGCUCACUCUGGUUAUUGUUGCAGAGACUCACCGGGUAUUGCUGCAGGGUGCACUCUUCACCAAGCUCCCGGAUCCAUUAGGCUGAGGCUGCAGGCUGCAUAACCAGUCGGGGAUUCCUUUUAUACACAGCGGCGUGAUAAUCCGCCGCCUGACGCUAAGCUGCAGAGGAUAAAGCGGGUCGGGGAAGGCUCCGUGAUACGAGGUCGUCUGAUUCGAGCUGUGGAGUGACCGUGCUGCGCUGGAUCACGUCUGCUUGGACCGCUGCUGCUUUGCUUUGCUUUGCUUGGUUCCGUUUUGUUUUGCUUGGCUGUGCUGGUGUGGCUGCUCUUUGCUCGGCGCGAUCACUGAAGAGGAUCUUCGUCAGGAGGACGUGUCGGCUAAGUUUUGGUUUUUUUUCCAGGACUGACGGCUGCGGUGUGCCAGAAGGAACCUUUUAUCUUGACUAUUAGCCGAGCUGACGUGCACGCGUGCACGUGCACGUUUUAGUAUAGACGCUAUUUUUUUGUAUUUUCUUUUAUCAAGUUUGUGUUGGUUUGUCUUAUUUAGCGUGAUUAUAAUUCUGUUUUUUUCCUUUAUCAGGUGCUGAGCCCCUUGGUGGUGGAUCGGUGUCCCUAUUGGUGGUUUCCCCCUAUGUGUGUUGUGUGGAUUUGAGUUGGUGUGGUUUGUUCACCCUCACUUGUGGUGUCCCUGGGAUCCCCUUUUUCGUUUGUUUUGGGACCCUUCCCAACCAAUCAGACGCUUUUCUCCAAAGCGACUUCGAGACGAGAGUAAGAACACCAGCAGAAACCAACCAGAAGGGACGUCAUCAUUAAGUGGUACUCAGACUGCUGGGAGUCCAGGUGGACGCAGGUGCUGUCAUGUAGCACUAGAGGAGGACUUUCUUUUUUUUCCUUAUGAUUUCAUCACACAACAUCAUCUUAAGCAUAAGUGCACGCAUCUUCUUCAGUACUGAGCUGAACCAAAGAGCUGGACAAAUCUUUUUAACUCAUUCCAAUGAGUAAAAGAGUUAAGCUAAGUGUGGAAAUGCUCCUUAAACAACUGAGUCUUUAGCUUGCUUUUAAAAGUGGAUAAGGACGGCUGAAUUCUAUACCUUCAGAAUUUGUUCAGAUCAGUCUAUCAGAAACUUGCAAACUUAUCUGUUCACCUUGUAUUUUUGUGCAUGUUUUUUAUUGUAACUGCAGGGAUUAAAACUAUAAAGACAUUAAUUUGCUCUUGUUGCAUCUUAUUCAAUAAAAUCUAAAA